CCCUUAGAUGUUCUGGGCCGCACGCGCGCUACACUGACGAUGGCAACGAGUUUUUCCUUCGCCGAAAGGUGUGGGUAAUCUUUUGAAACAUCGUCGUGCUGGGGAUAGAUCAUUGCAAUUUUUGAUCUUGAACGAGGAAUUCCUAGUAAGCGCGAGUCAUCAGCUCGCGUUGAUUACGUCCCUGCCCUUUGUACACACCGCCCGUCGCUACUACCGAUUGAAUGGUUUAGUGAGGACGCCUGAUUGGCGCCGCCGCCCCGGCAACGGAGCAGCGGACUGCCGAAAAGUUGUUCAAACUUGAUCAUUUAGAGGAAGUAAAAGUCGUAACA
rnacentral:rRNA from 1 species